rnacentral:rRNA from 1 species
CAGCACCUCAAGUGGUCAGGAUGAUUAUUGGGCCUAAAGCAUCCGUAGCCUGUUCUGUAAGUUUCCGGUUAAAUCCAUUAGCUCAACUAAUGGGCUGCCGAAAAUACUGCAGAACUAGGGAGUGGGAGAGGUAGACGGUACUCGGUAGGAAGGGGUAAAAUCCUUUGAUCUAUUGAUGACCACCUGUGGCGAAGGCGGUCUACCAGAACACGUCCGACGGUGAGGGAUGAAAGCUGGGGGAGCAAAACGGAUUAGAUACCCGAGUAGUCC